CCUACGGGAUGCAGCAGUUAGGAAUAUUGGACAAUGGGGGAAACCCUGAUCCAGCCAUGCCGCGUGUGUGAUGAAGGCCUUAGGGUUGUAAAGCACUUUCGGCUGCGAAGCAGUAACAGCAGAAGAAGCUCCGGCUAAAUUCGUGCCAGCAGCCGCGGUAAUACGAAUGGAGCGAGCGUUGUUCGGAAUCACUGGGCGUAAAGCGUGCGCAGGCGGUUGUGAAAGUCAGAAGUGAAAGCCCAGGGCUUAACCUUGGAAUUGCUUUUGAAACUUCACGACUAGAGUACUGGAGGGGUUGGCGGAAUUUCGAGUGUAGCAGUGAAAUGCGUAGAUAUUCGAAGGAACACCGAUGGCGUAGGCAGCCAACUGGACAGUACUGACGCUCAGGCACGAAAGUAUGGGGAGCAAACAGGAUUAGAUACCCUUGUAGUC
rnacentral:rRNA from 1 species